CUGGUGAGUAACGCGUGGGCGACCUGCCCCGGGGAUGGGGACAGCCGUUGGAAACAGCGGGUAAUACCGAAUACGUUCACUAUGCUACGGCAUGGUGAGGAAAGGGGCUACGGCCCCGCCCCGGGAUGGGCCCGCGUCCCAUUAGCUUGUUGGCGGGGUAACAGCCCACCAAGGCGAAGAUGGGUAGCCGGCCUGAGAGGGCGAACGGCCACACUGGGACUGAGAUACGGCCCAGACUCCUACGGGAGGCAGCAGCUAAGAAUAUUCCGCAAUGGACGAAAGUCUGACGGAGCGACGCCGCGUGGAUGAGGAAGGCCGAAAGGUUGUAAAAUCCUUUUGCAGGCGCAGAAGAAGGCGGGGAGGGAAUGCCCCGUCGGUGACAAAGGUCUGUGAAUAAGCCCCGGCUAAUUACGUGCCAGCAGCCGCGGUAACACGUAAGGGGCGAGCGUUGUUCGGAAUUAUUGGGCGUAAAGGGCGCGUAGGCGGCCUGGCAAGUCCGGCGUGAAAUAUCGGGGCUUAACCCCGGGGCUGCGCUGGAAACUGCCUGGCUUGAGUCACGGAGGGGCAGCCGGAAUUCCUGGUGGAGGGGUGAAAUCUGUAGAUAUCAGGAAGAACACCGGUGGCGAAGGCGGGCUGCCAGCCGAUGACUGACGCUGAGGCGCGAAAGUGCGGGGAGCAAACAGGAUUAGAUACCCUGGUAGUCCGCACUGUAAACGAUGUGCACUAGGUGUCGGGGCGAGCGUCUCGGCGCCGGAGCGAACGCGAUAAGUGCACCGCCUGGGGAGUAUGCCCGCAAGGGUGAAACUCAAAGGAAUUGACGGAAU
rnacentral:rRNA from 1 species